UCCAGCCCCCCCCCCCCCCCCCCCCCAGUUGCCCAUCCCGCCAGCUGCGGUGUCUCUCAUAACCACCACGUGCGGAGUGCCCAUGCGCUGAUCCCCCGCGAUGCUGGCUCCGCUGCUGAGCAGGGACUAGGGGCAGGCGUUGCUCAACUUGGCUUUUGUGGAGGCAGGCGUCGGAGGUGGGCCCCGCCGUGCGCGGCCGCAGCCCCAAACAGCCUGAAGCGGAUCCCUUUGGGGUCAGCCCGCGUCGCCCCGGGUGACCUCCUGCGCCUCCUGGCCUGCGAGGGUGGUCUAGGUUUGCUGCCCUUGUAUUGGGGCAGGCUGUUUUUUCGGGUGGAGGAACGGUUACUGAGGCUGACAGCUAGCCAGGAGCAGAUAAAUAUUAAUUUUAUAAAUUUUUUAGGGGCCCGUGGGCUGUAUACAAUGGUCUGGUGGGCCACAUCUUGCCUGCCCCAGCCUUGUAUCUUCUCAUCUCAGGUUACUUUGUGAGUUUGACCAGAGGUGUUGCCCGUGCCUUAUGGGGAAGGCUGCAGGUUUCCAGAGGAGACUGAGCGCAUGGAAAUCCCCGAAUGUUCGGGUUCAAAAGAGAGAAGUUGUGGCUGCUGGACACGUGCUCUGGCCAUGGUCAUCUAUAGCUCAUCUCGGUCUCUGUUCUCGCAGGCCUUGGAUGCACCGGGAGGAGAAGCAGACGGGGGAGCAGCAGGGAAGAGGCAAGGAAGGAGAAAAGCCAGCCAGAGAAACGGGAUGCGAAGGAAAGGGACUCUGGACAGAGUGGCCUCCCUGCCUUUAGGUCUCAAUCAUGUAUUAGCCAAAUGUUGGGUGCGUGAACCUUUGGGUGAGCUCCCUGCAACCUGGAAAUGGGUCUCUGCCCUUGAUGCUGUUGCACUUGUGCAGCAGUCAGGUGGACAACCCUGUAAGCAAGGCGUGUGUUACUGCCACCUUGUUUGUAAAGGCCAUGGAUCUGGUUAGCGGUCUUGCUCAGCGCAGCCGCCCUGUAAUCAGGGCCAGGCCACACAUGGCUGCCAACGACGCAGGCUCCCAUAAGCAGGGUGCAUGCUGCCUCCUACCACAUGAGAAGGACAGUGGAUUUGAACCUGCACAGCGCUGGACAUCCUGUAACUGGGAGGCCAGGUCUGCUGCCAUAGCCAGUCCGUCGGAGAGGUGCCCCUGUAAGCCAGGUGAGCAUAGCCUCCUUCCGCUGGCUUGAGAGAGCUGGAGCAGUCUGCAGCGUUGUGCCGCAGGGCGGCCUUGUACACAGGAGCCGAGUCUCAUGGGGUGACGGCAAACUCUUUAGAACCCAGAGCUUGAUGACCUUCCCGUGGCUGGGUUGAUGCCUGUGGCAUCCUCUCCAUUCCCUGUGUCCAGGCACCGCUCCUUCUUCCUGCCUCUAUGCCUGGCACUCCACAUCCGGAUGUCUGGGCCACCCUGUAACGAGGAUGUGAGUCCCGUGCCCCUGGUUGAGGGCUAGGUUCGACAGAGCUGUGGACCUCCCUGUAAGCAGGGUGCAGGUCUCACUGUGCCUUUGGGGACACCUCUGUCCUUUAGCUGGCUGAGGGCCGUCCCUGUAAGCAGGGCUCUGGGCCUUUGCCUCCUGUGGGCAGUCUGGCUGGUCAGACGGACCGUGCCCUGUAAGGAGGGUGCCAGUCUCAACCUUCUUGCCCUCUAGAAGCGGAGGAGGAUUUUCCAAUGAAAGGCUGGAGGUGAAGCGGUUUGCGGCAUGGAGCUCCUUUCUAGCCUGGGAACACUCUUUUUUCCCUUAUGCGAGUGUGGACGGUGAGAGAGAGGAGCGCCUGGGAACGAAAGCUUUUGUUUUUUUUCUUUAUGUUCUUAAAAUCACUACAGCAUACUUUAUUUUCUUCCCAGUGCUGGAAAAGGGGUGAGAUGCGUCCUCAUAGCCUUCUCCUCCCACCUCCUCACCUAGGGGGUAAAGCAACAGUAUAGAUUUCCAUGCCUUCUGGCUUUGGGGAGCAUUAGGCCCCCUGUCUAAUAUUGGGAAUAUGACCUCCCUGUAUGUCAGGGUACAGGUCUUUUCCCCCCUCUUUUUGGGUGGUUAGUAUGUUUUUUUGGCCACGUGGCAGCUCGUAUGAAGGGUUACUGCCCUCCUUAAGGGAAGGCUAUGUAUUCCGUACUCAAGACCGUGGAAAUGAGUGCCCUGGCACUUGGCCAGCUGUUCUUCUGUGCUCCUGGCCCCGGCCUGCAGCCUGUAAGCAGGGUCCAGGUGCCCUUUGUUAUCCAGGUCUUGUUCCACUUGGACAGGUUGGCCAGAGGGAAUAGCCAUGGACUACAGGGAAGGUUGCAGGCUUCUGGAGGAUACUGAAUGUGUUGGCAUCCCAAGACUUAGUGACCUUCCUGUAGCUCAGGUCCAGAUCUUUGCUCCUCUGUUCUGCUGCUUUGGCACUAUUGAGAUGGCCCCCCUGGCACCCUGUAACCAGGGCUGUGCCCCCAUCUCUUCUGACCUGUGGGGAGAAGGCCUCACUUAGUUCUUUGGGCUCUGUGGCGUCUGUGACAGGAUGCUGAAGUCAUGGCGCUUGUGUCCUCAGACAGGGAGCAGCUUUGAUCCCUGAUUGACACCACCUGAGGCACCUGUCAGCUGGCAUUCAGGGCUUUGCAGGUUGUCUCCCAGCUUCAUGCCCCAGCAGCCAGCUGUGUGGAGGGAGCACCGCCCUGUAAGCAGGGUUGCCGGUGUUUGUGGUCACUGUUCAUGGUGCCGCCCUAGCAGUUCUGUCCAGAGUCCUGGCCCAUCACACUCUGCUCUUAGCUGGAUGCCAGAGGUUGAACCUGCAGGCAUCUGCUCUUCCCACUUUCCGUGGACAGAGGACAGAGUGGCAGCAGGUUCAUUUACAGCCCCCGGAAGGAGAAGCAGGGAAAUGACAGAUGAGCAGGAGUUAGCCACUAAGGAGGGAAGAAACCCAUGCCAGCCCACCCAGAGGGAAAGGUCCCUGAAGGGCAGCUGGAGAAGAACAAAUGGAAGCAGGAAAAGGAACUCGGGAACAAAAGCUGGUGCUUUUCUGAACUGAGAAGAUUUGGUCAUUAUCCUUCCUACUGAGAGCUGGCUGAAGGAACAAACUUUUUCAUUGUAUCUGCCGAUCCGAUCUGUGUUCGUACUUGUUUAAUGCAGAUAUUUCCUGUUGUGAUUUACAAGGGGUAAAAGACUGUAACAGAUGGCUCCUGGUCAUCAAUUCACAAUGGUUAAUGCACUGUAGGAAAGCAGUCCUGAUGCUUUGAGGAACUAAAAAUAAGGUACAGUGAAGUUGUGAUGCUUUGGUAUGAUCUGUUGAAGUUCAGCUGAUCCUUGUCUAAAAAGAAACAAUGCUCCCAAUAAAAGUAAAAUACUCAGGAAA